rnacentral:lncRNA from 1 species
UUCAUUCAUUCUUACUUUAGUACCUAUGAUUUAAAGUGUAUCAAAUUAGUCCAUGUGGUUUUGCAUUUUUUCACUUUAGUACUCUAUGGUUUAAAGUGUAUCAAGUUAGUACCCUGUGGUUUCAUUUUUCUUUUUUUAUUAUCUAUUUCACUAUUUUUUUUGUUAAAUCGGUAACAAAGUUAAAAUUAAAGGGUACUAAAGUGAAUAUUCGAUGAAUCUAGAUAGGGUAUCUGAAUUUUUUUGUAUAUAAUUUAACGAAUACUAACGGAGGAAAAAAUAUCAAUGACAAAGUUAAAACUAAAGGUACUAAAAUAAAUAUUCGAUAAAUUUAGGUAGGGUAUCUGAAGUUUUGUCUAUAAUUUAACAAAAUAUUAACAGAGGAACCGACGAAAAGAAAAAAAAUGAAACCACAUGGUACUAAGUUGAUGCACUUUAAACUACAGGAUAGUAAAGUGAAAAAGUGCGAAAUCAUAUGGUACUAACUUGAUAUACUUUAAACCACAUGGUACUAAAGUAAAAAGUGCGAAACCACAAAGGUGGUAUGUGAAAAUUUUCAUUUUUUUGAAUUAAUUGCAUGCAACUCUCUGUGAAUAUAACAAAUAGUAAAUAUAUCCCUACAAAAUUC